GGAGCGAACGCUGGCGGCAGGCCUAACACAUGCAAGUCGAGCGCCCCGCAAGGGGGAGCGGCAGACGGGAGAGUAACACGUGGGAACGUACCCUUUGGUUCGGAACAACACAGGGAAACUUGUGCUAAUACCGGAUAAGCCCUUACGGGGAAAGAUUUAUUGCCAAAGGAUCGGCCCGCGUCUGAUUAGCUUGUUGGUGAGGUAACGGCUCACCAAGGCUACGAUCAGUAGCUGGUCUGAGAGGAUGAUCAGCCUCACUGGGACUGAGACACGGCCCAGACUCCUACGGGAGGCAGCAGUGGGGGAAUAUUGGACAAUGGGCGCAAGCCUGAUCCAGCCAUGCCGCGUGGAUGAUGAAGGCCUUAGGGUUGUAAAGUCCUUUUAACGGGAAGAUAAUGACGGUACCCGUAGAAUAAGCCCGGCUAACUUCGUGCCAGCAGCCGC
rnacentral:rRNA from 1 species